ensembl:lncRNA
CAUUACCCCUAGCAACCUCCCACAUCCCAUCAUCCCACAUGUCGUCAUCCCACAGUGGGUGGAAACGUGUUCCUUUAACAUCUACUGGCUUUGCCCUUCAGUCCUAAGAGUAGAACCUAGGACCUCAGGUGUAGCAGCAGAUACAGAAGACCAGCUGAGAUAUCUAGCCUUGUGGGACAGAGCAACUACUGGGUUCCCGGACUUCCCAGUCACAGCUGCCCAUUACUGGAUUAGCUGGACCACAGCCUAUUCCUUCCAGAAUCCUCUUGGACUCCAGAGUCUGCAGGUGUUCAACUCCCAUACAUAAAGUGAGUAAAUGUGUGCAUAGACACCCACAUCUUCUUCUAUGCGUGGUAUCAUCUCUCCAUGACUUGUGCUUCCUAAUGCAGUGUGUGCGUUAAGAGUGUUAAGCUGGG